CUCUUAUUUACCUCAGAAUAAAUCCAGAGUGACUCUGGAAGUGUUCACAGUGAACUCCUUGCCUCCAAACCUCUUUGAUUUUUUUUUUUUAACUUCUCAUCAGCUCCAUCCUCACAGAGCCUUGCAUCAGAGCUCAUCUAGGCCUAACUACAACUUCUGGCUACAGAAGAGAGAACAUUCAUUCUGGCACUCUUUUCUAGGGCUCAUCACUGCAGUAACAUUGGCAUUAUAUCUUGCAGACCACAUUUUUCCUGACAAUCUUGAUGACAGGGGAUUACACAGCUGAGCUGGACACGGCAUGAGCUCUGGAGAUGGACACAAGUGCUGUGGUGGCACCUGGUCCUGGCAUGGGACAACCCCACAACCCCUCCUGCUUUGUCACUGAAGGCUGUUUGUCAUCUCUGCUCCUUGAUAAGCAGGGUUUAAAUGGCUUUUUCUACCUUCUGGAGUAUUAGGAUAUUCCUCAGACCUUAAUGGAAAAGGACAAGGAGGGACAUUUAGCUGAUAGAAGUCAUUUGAAGAGGUUUGGUUAGCUAAGCCUCAUUCUUGGCAUUCCCUCAGUUCCACUGAGCGAACUUCCUGCCUCAGUUUCUCCAAAUUUAAGAUAGAGAAGUCUCUCAGACAUGCUGUGAAGUUCACUGAUUGUCUAAAACUUGCCUGGAAAUGGGAAUUCUGCCCUUUGCCUCGUGCUCCAGCCGGGGAGGCCUCACAGUGCGUGCAUCCCACCGCAGUGACCACACCAUGCUGGGGGUGUUACUGAUGUACUCCCCAGAACUGAGGUCUGAUAAACUCCACAAAGCCUUGAGAAACUUUCUGGUUGGAAGUCACGGUGGCAGAGUAGUCUUUAACGUUAUUAUUCUUCAUUGUCAUAAUGAUUGUUUUGAAGGAUUGGGCUUGCUGUUUUUCAAAGAGAUUUUCUCUCCGAUAUGCAGCCAGCCCGAGGGAAGGAAGAGCCCCUCCCAGUGACAGGCUCUCCGGCACAGCCCAGGGCAGGGACAACCUUGCUUUUAUUUUGCCAACCUACCUGCUAUGUGGGCUGAUGGCUCAGAGGGGUUUUAAAACCCCCCUGUCUCUCCAUUUCAGAGGUGAAACGUUGGGCUUUUUCUCUCACUGUGACCUCCAGGAAGCUUGGCACAUUCCUUAAGUAAAACUGACCCCAAGUUCCUUUUUCUGCUGUUUUUGGAUUAAGCCAGACUUGGCACUCACGUGGGCUGCGAUACAGUCAGCAUUCCCCAGCUGCAGCACUUUGUCAUGGGUCAGCACAAGCGAAAGUCUGUUCAGCAGAAGGUCGUGGUGCUUCAGCAGAUUAAUGCUGAAAUGUGUCAAAGAAAGAGAGGGGAGGCUGAAACCCUAUGGGUUCUGUGACACUUAAACACACCCCGAAGUACAUUAAGCACUGGUUUAUGAACACAGUACCCCAUGAGUAUUUCUGGCACCUGCACAGCCUCGCUGCUGCCUCAUGCUGCGUUAGAGGUGCAUCUCUGUGACACAGAUGGAGCUUCAAAAGGUGCAGAACCCAGCUGCACACCUGCUGUUAAUCACCUCACUUCUCAACUUGUUAGCUGUGGCUCUAUUUCUGCCUGAAUUCAGACAAGGAAAGCUGUAAGUGCAGGAAUAAAUGCAGCCAGGAGUACAGCAGGAGGCACUGCUGUCUCGCGGUGGGAUGAGCAGAGGUGGAGGAUCUCAUCCCCAAAUUGCCCCUUCUUUCUGCACUCUUCCAGCACCUCCCAUCCCAAAAGCACCUCAAAAGCAGAGGUACGUUUAUUGGUGACUGCAGAGCUAUGCUGACCUGCUCUGAUCAGCGCUUUAUGCAAAAGGGGAAGCACUUCUGGACCAGUUAGUGCUUCAAGUGUGACUGCCAAUACUAGAAAAUAUGGAGACUGGCACGGAUACAGCACCCUAAUCUCAUCCCUAAGCAAAAUUGAGAGCUCCAAACAGCAACUAAGGACUCGAGAACUGCAUUUAUUUUGCUAGAGGCUCCCUGUGGACAACGGCAGCAGUGCAAGAAAGCACAAGUUCUCUAUGGGAUGGCUGGAAGGGUCUGUGGCACUGAGACAGAAUCUUUCUGUCAUCUGCAGAGACAGGAACUUUUGAUUGUUGUAAAAUAGUUUUAAUAUGAAAGAAACAGAGCAAAAGGAGUGGAAUCAGUGGAGUAGAUUGGGAAGAGAGCUCUAGAACUCCAGGGAUUUUUCAGUUAUUUUUAACUGUCUUAAAAGGCACAAGAUAUAACUGUCAAAAGCCCAGUUUUUCAACCCUCACUAAGUAUUCCAGUCCAGCUGUAUUUAUUGAUGGUGAUUCUGCAGCUGAAUAAAAUUUCACCGUUUGUAUCUCUUGGGUAGGUGAGUGAAAGAAUAAAUGCAAAGCUAAGGCUGGUAGACAGUGCGGCCCAUAGCCAAGAAAGCUGCAUUUCUGGCUCCAAAUAACAUUUUCCAACCCCUUCCACAGUCAGAGACUUGCCAGAUCCCCAUUAAGCUUCUUAAAUUAUUGUAUGCAACACCUGAAAUCAAACGUAGACAUGACUUUGUCUUUAAGCAGGGAUUCAGGUUUAAAAUUAUGGCACCUAGGAGCCCAGGGAAAUUUUCUAGGUGCUAAGUUUGGCUCCGGAGCUGCCAUUUCCCAGCACAGCAGAAUAGCUCUCCCCAGUCCAGGAGGUCACAGUAAAGUAUGAAUGAAGGUGUUAAUGUAAAACCCCAAAUCCACAGACUUCUUGAUUUAUGGAGCUGACUUUGCUUUCUAGGAACUAAGAACAAGAUUUGUUAGAGGUGAGGGUGAAAGAAUAGCUUUCAUGUUUUUCAUGCCACAAGGCUUAGAGCCACAAGGCUCUGGACCCUGCAGGUGAGAUGUGCUUCAUGGAGGCUCCCUGGGCUAUGGCCCAGGCAGGGCUGGAGGGGUUCUGCUGGGCACAGAGCAAGGAGAAAGAGGGAAUAACAAGACUGUGAUUGCGUAUGCACACAUGGAUCAAGGCCUGCAUUUGAAUGAUGGGAGAGCAGGUAAAUAGGAUGCUGAAGCAUGCUUGCUAUGGCAUAGGGAUGGGACCCUUUGCAUGCGUCUGCGUCUCCCCAGAUGGAACCAUGAUGCUGAAAUCUCCUGAGCUUCUGACAUCAGCAACAACAGGAAAAAAAGCCUCCAAAAAGAGUUUUCCUGGCAUAGAUCCUCCUCUGCCCUUGGUAUCUGUAAACUAUGGUGGCUGACCGCAGUGUGAAGGUAAACCUUGCAUUGACAUGGAGAGUGAUGAAUAGUUCCUAUCCUGAAAUGCAAUCUCUGAAAUUGAUUGCACCAUCACAGUAAAUCCAUUACUGAAGCAACCCAUUUUACCAUACCACAUUUCAAUAAUUUAUUUCAGAAUAAAAGGCUUUUAAAGUAUCAGAUGAAA